rnacentral:tRNA from 1 species
GCGGAGAUAGAUUAGUUGGGAGAGCGUCAGACUGAAGAUCUGAAGGUCGCGUUUUUGAUCCACGCUCACCGCA